rnacentral:lncRNA from 1 species
GAAAACAUAUAUUAAAACCUUCGCCCAUAAAUACCAAGAUAAAAUUGAAACAUCUCAAAACUUAAAUACUCUCCACCUAGGCGUACCCCCAUUUAUAUUCCGUCAAUUCCUUUAAUAUACUAUUAAUUCCGGUAAUAUUCAGUCAUUUCCAAUAAUAUUCCUUCAAUUCCAAGUAUCCUAUCUGUUACAUCCUCGUAGGACUCGAAAACACAAAGUCAAUCCGAG